GUGCUCGUGUUGGUAGCACAGACACUGAAACUGGAAUGACAGAGAUGAGCGUGGUUCCUACAUAAGGAUGAUACACAAAUUCAUGAAGAGUUCCACUUUUUA
ensembl:snRNA U6 U6 spliceosomal RNA